rnacentral:sRNA from 1 species
GAAAUUAAAUUCUCUGAGGUGAUAUAGAUGGACAUGGACUAAUCUAUAUAUGAAGUUGUAAACUGUUAAUUCAAUUAAAUUCACUGGGAAGAAAAAGGUAUGGCGUUAUCAUGGGUUCAGGUUUAGGUGUUAGCCAAUAUAGGAAUCUUCUACCGUUGCUCUGUUACAAAACGACAAGACUUAAAUGUCGGGUCGUUACCAAACUCACUGGCUCAUCUAAAUAUCUUUAAAACGCUAACGGCCCUGACCUUAUUUCCAUGCCCCACUUACAUUUCAGAUAAUGCCAAAUGGAUUUUUCGGUUCAAUUUUGGUUUAGUUAUCUUUUUUUUCCCCCGGUUUAAUUAACUUAUAAAUUUCACUUGCUAGAAUGCAAAGACCAACUCAAAGUUGACCGACGGGGAGAGAAAUUUUCAUAAUAGCUUAUAAUUAUUUUUUAUUUUAUUGGCAACGACAAAGUUUGAAUUAUACAUUAGGUGGAAUGUCCAUAUCCCCAAUUCAACUACCGACUUUGGAUAUACAGAUACCUAUUAAUAUUAUAAGUUAUCAGAGGCAUAUCUUUAUAUAAACAGUUAUACAUAGGACUUUGAUAUGUUGGACAUAUGAUUAGCUAAAAUAAAUUAUCAAAUUCCAACGGCUAGUUCUCACUUAUUUUAUAUGAAAAUAAUUUUAGGGAUGUUAUACUAACGAAACAGAGAAGACGCC